AUUUGAUGUAAUUUAUAUGUUGCAUUUUGCACACAUCAGGUGCAACUCUAUUGUGCUUACUUGGAUUCUUAACUCUGUGUCUGAAGAAUUAUAUCUUGGUCUUGUUUAUUCUAGAAUUGCCUCUGAUUUGUGGAAAGAUUUAAAGGAAACUUAAGAUAAGAUAGAUGGGUCUGUGGUGUUUAAUCUGUAUCAAAAAAUUAACUCGUUUAGUCAAAAUGGCAUGCUUGUUUCUGAAUAUUAUCAUAAGUUGAAUUGUAUGUGGAAACAAUUAGACCAGUUACUUGCUUUACCUGCUUGUUCUUGUGAUGCAUCAAACAAUUUAACGAUUUUAAUCAUCUGAUUAAACUUAUACAGUUCUUAAUGGGUCUUGAUAGUUCGUACCAGUCUGUGAGAACUAAUUUGUUAACCAGAGAAACUCUUCCUUCUGUGAAGGAUGCUUUUUCAGUCAUCUCUAGAGAAGAGUCUCAUAUUCAUUCAAAAAAUAUUCCUGAUAAAACUUUAAACAAUGUUGUUGGCUUUGCUACUAAAGCUAAUCAAAUUAAAGAACAAAGAAAAAGGGUGUUAGAAUCCCUAAUCCUAAUCUCAAAUGUUCUCAUUGUAAUAAGACUGGUCAUACUAUUGAAAAGUGUUUUGAACUUGUUGGCUAUCUUUCUUAGAUGAAGUCAAAACCUGGUGGGAACAAGGGUAACAAGGUUAGUAAUAAUGUUACUGCUGAUACUACUGAUACUUCUUCUGCUGUGAGUUCUCUGACCAAUGAUCAGAUAGCCCAAUUGCUUAGUCUCUUAAAUGAUAAAUCUAAGGGUGAUCCUCAGAGUAGUGUUUUUGCUGGUAUGUGUGCUAAUUCUGUUCGUCUAAAUAGUUUUGUGGACUUAUCAUCCAAACCUAUUUGUGAUUUUAAACCUGUUUACUAUUUUUCAAACUUUAUUGAUAAUGGGAGAAAGGUAGGGUGGAUAGUUGAUUAUGGUGCUAAUCAACACAUGGUAAUUGUGAUAACCGGUAAUUAACGGCUUCCAAUUACGCGAUUAACAAACGUUUAAGGCGAUAACAAAUAGUGUUUAAGGCAUGAAUUAACUUAUUUAGGCUUUUGGAAUGCCUACGAUCGCCUAUCUAACAUUACAGUGCGCGUAUGGUGAUUUUCGGGAAAUCUGCUAAGCGAUAAGCGGUAAUGAACUGAUACCGUACAAAAUACUGACAACGCUGACAAAUACGAACUUUAUACACACAACUUAUAUAUAUGGAUGUAGUUUUACGAAAUUUUCACGCUUUCGAAUGUCACAACACGCAAACGUGAACGAAAGUGCGAUUGCAGGAACGCACCAGCCACGAAACGAAGCAUCAGACGCGCGUAUUAACUUAAAAACUGAAAUAUUAUGAUACAUUUAGUUUCGUUUCCAAAUUUUAAUAUCCUUAAGUUGAAACCGGAUCAACAAAUGGAUCAGAAACGCCAAACGAGGCAAUUACGCGAUUUUAGAGUAAUCGAUGAGCGAACGCUUCAAUUAUAAAUCUCCGACGUAAUUUUUUUUGUUAUUCCGACACUAAAAUUUCAUUUUAUGACAUUACACGACAACCGGGUUCAAAAUCGGGCCGCGCUAGUGAAUUGAAACGAGAUAAUGGGCCUAGGGCCCAACCCACCACUUUAACCUAUGUAUAUAAGCCCUUUUAUAGACACCCACCUCAUUUCUUUUGAAACCAUAGUUCUAAACGAGUAUACCAUCAGACUCCCUCCCUUACUCUCCUCUUCUUCUUCGAUUGCAAACCCACAACCAGACACCCAUCCUCACACCUCUCUCCCUCUUUCUCUGCCAUAAGCGGCAACCGGAGCUAGAGAUGAUGACCGAGCUCCGGCACCCCUUAAAUCUGACCACUCAAACUCCGCGUCUCUCUCUCCCAUGAACAAACAUCCGGCGACGAACCCCCCCACCACUCGAUUAUUCUCUGAUGAAGACCAUAGACUCACCUGAUUUCGAGAUCAGAGAGAUGGAGGGAGAACGGGAGCGGCAAACCAGAACCACCGCCGGUGGCAGUGCGGCCGACCGGCGGCAGGAGUGACGAGGACGAUGAUGAUAUGAUGAUUGUCACGACAAAGCACUGAUGGUGAAGAUGACGAUGGUGUUUGACUGAUGAGCAGUGGCCGACGGCGGCGGAGAGCAAGCGGCUGUAGUGGCAGCUGUGAUACCUCUCCGACGUGUUUUUUUCUUUCUUUCCGUAUCGAUGAUGACGACGGUAUAUAAAUGAAGCUGGGGACGAUGAUGUUGGCAGUGGUUGUGGUAGUCAGCCGUACGUGACAGUAGUAGUGGUGAUUCUUCGUCGGUGGUGAUGGAUGGUGGUAUUCUCGACUCAGUUUCUGGUUCACGCUGUUAAGAUUUGGUUUCGGGUCAAGGAUCGGUCAACAUAAGUCAACAACAGUCAACCGUAGUCAACGACAGUUAACUCGGUCAACACAACCCGGUAACAACUCAGUUUAGAUUUUAUUUGGUUGGCGUGCACCGAGCUCGAACCGAUAUUUUAGCGACUUGUUACUUUUGGCAUUUUGAUAGAAAUUAUAGAUAUUGUCGUUUAUUUUGUGAAUUGAAUUUUGUUGAAUUUUGAAAAGAUAACGACAACUUUUAUUGUCGGAUUA